AUGUAUAUCUCAAUUACUCGUUUGCAGAAUGUAUCGAGCAAUUGCUGCGGUACCCAACAGGAGACAAUCUGAGGUUUAGAUUUUAUUGUGAUUCUUAUAAAGUGAUGUUUAAAAGUUGCGGAGUUCACAUAAUCUGUAAGCAUGAAGAGAAUGAGAAUUUAACAGUUGGGGAGUGCUCAGUAGAUUCAUCGAAUGGUAUCCAGCUUUCUAAGAGACGUCGAGAUAAUGAAGACAGCAACUUGGAAUUCAAUGGGUAUCCACAACACAAGAGACGCUCUCAAGACUUGGGCAAUUCAAAUGCAACAUAGUUAGGCUCACCACAAUCGUAUUCUUGCCAGCCAUCUCACGCACAAAUCACACCAUCUUCUUCCUUCGAUUGGAGAGACUUCCUCAGCGAACUUGUUCCCUGUCCGGGCUUUCAGGAACAACAAGAUCUCUACUUGAAGGGAGUCUCAUCGCCAGCCAAUUACCCGUCAACUCUCGAGCAAAUACCCCAGUUAAACUAGGAAUUAUAAUGGUCUAAAUUGAGUUGGACAUGAGGGUGGUUUUGAGACAUUUGAUUUUGGAUCCACAAGUGGAGCUCAAACAAGCAACAGGUCAGAAGUUUCAUCAUCUGUGAGUUCAUUUGUGGAGGCUAUUCGGGAACAGGACAGUGAGAUGCCAGCAGAAUUUCCAGAUAUUUUAGAUGCAUCUUUUGAUUACUAGUUCUCCAAGAACGAUCAACGUGCAGUUAUGCUUGUUUUGGCCUCUCUUCUGUUUUAGAAGAUUUGUUAAUGGAAAGAUGAGUUUUUGUUUAGAAUUUCUACUUCUCAGUCGGCUGACGGAGCUGAAUUCGAGCUUCUCCGCCGGAUCUACCAGAAACAUAUAUUCUCCACAGGCUGUACCAAGAGGGAUGUUCUUUUUCUUUGCACAAUCUCUUAGACAGCCUGAAGACACUCAUUGCAAAGGUUGGACCUGCCUGAACCAACUGCCCCCACUGUUCAAUAAGCUGAACCAUCUCGCCUCUGGUUUUGUUUGUUUCAGAACUCCCUAACCCCAUCGCAGCUCUGUUUUCCACUUUUUCUCUUCUACUCCGUCGCCAUGACAAAGCAAGAUGAUCUUGAACAAAAUGCAAACACUUCUUUUUUUCCUCCUUGUGAGUGAAGAUUGGAGGAGCACAAAGAAGAAUAAACCUCUCUGCCUACCUGACAUUGGGCUCGUGUGUAUCAAAUAGGUGGACUAGAAGAGUCUAUCAUUCGCACUGUGGAUUAGUACCUUGUGCAGAGAUUAAAUACGUCCAACAAAUAUCAAUAGAGUAAAAAGUUGAAGUUUUGAAAUAGCUGGUGGGCCUUGAAGAGGAGUCGUCGAUGGCGAGGAGCAGAUGCACGGCAGGGAGAGGGAGACUGAAACGUUAUUUUCAGAUUUAAUUGGGCUACUUUUUGAUUUAGAAAUAAGGGUGUUUUGAUCAAGUCCAUGAUAAAGUGGGGUAUUUUUUGUCAAUUCCUAUAUUUGGACUGCAAAGGAGUCCAAGAAAUUGGACUGUACGCAGCCCUUAAGGAGCACUUGAGAUAAAAAUGUGUUUUUCCCGCUACUGAUAUUAGACCAUACCCUUUGCUUCAGGUUUCUAAAUGUAUUUCGCUUCAGGUUUCUAAAUGUAUUGUAUCUUUUUUUUUCCCACCAUGAUGGGUAAAUCAAUAUACCUUUCAUAGCUACCACACACAGACACCCCUACCAUAUUUCUGAUUUGCAAUCUGAUCUGCAUAUCUGUAUUGGAGCUGAAAAAUAUGGCAGAUUUCUGUAAAUUCAGACAUUGGUCAGAGGCCUAUUCAUACAGCUUUAGAAGCCCUUGUAUUUGCUGCCACUCAGCCAUCUUAGCCCUACAAAAAAUGAGACAGUCAUCAUAAAAAAGGAGAUGACUGAUCCUUGUACCCCUUCUUCAAACAACAACCCCUUUUAUUACCACUCUUCUCUCAGCAAAAUGUCAGACUCGGAGGAGCACCAUUUUGAGUCUAAGGGCGAUGCAGGAUGGUCAAAGACCUAUCCCCAGCAAGCUGGUACCAUUCGUAAGAAUGUCUAUAUCGUCAUCAAGAACAGGCCUUGCAAGGUUGUAGAAGUUUCCACUUCAAAGACAGGCAAGCAUGGACAUGCAAAGUGCCACUAUGUGGGAAUUGACAUAUUUAAUGGGAAGAAGCUUGAGGAUAUCGUUCCUUCAUCACACAACUGUGAUGUUCCUUAUGUUUCUCGCACUGAUUAUCAGUUGAUUGAUAUCUCUGAAGAUGGUUUUGUUUGGGAGGAGGUGGGGUUGGUUUUAGGACAGAGGCAUGACUUUCACGAGCCAUUGGUGUAUGAUGAGGACGUAUAAGCAAGUGUUGUUGAUUUCUUCUAUUGGGAACAAACAAUGUUGAGGGGAUAGAAGUGAUUCUGCCUGAGGGCAAUGAUCAUGACAUGAUACGCUUGAGUCCCAAAUCAUUUAGAAAGAUGAAAAGACUCAGAUUUUUUAAAAGCCAUGGUGCAUACUUUUCUGGAAGAUCACUUGAUUAUCUUUCUAAUGAAUUAAGAGUGCUUGAUUGGUCAAACUGUCCUUUACAAUCUUUGCCAUCUAAUUUCCGUGGAGAGAAGCUAUUUGAUUUCAAACUAUACAGAGGCCACAUCCAGGAGAUUAGCGGGCAAUUUAAGGUGUUUGGAUUGGAGCUUCCUGUACUCCUAUGAACACUGCCAUAGCUUCUCCUAGAUUCGGAUUGUAGCUCUCUGAGUGCUUAGCUAUUAUGAAAACAAUUUUGCCAUUGUGUGAUCUGCAUAUGGCAGCAGAGGUGCUACCAUUUGGUCUAACUGCUACAUCAAAUGCAAUUGAAAUGAUUUCUGGAGGAGGGGACCAUCUAUUCUUGUUAUGAAGUUCUUUCCAUU